rnacentral:snRNA from 14 species
AAAAGUACUUUUUGGGGUAAGAUCAAGUGUAUGGUGAGGUUUGCCCUUUGCACUCUGGGCAGGCUGACCCCUACAAGUUUCCCCAACUGUGGGAAACUCAACUAUAUAAUUUUAUGGUAAUGGGGGACUGCAUUAUCUCUUUCUUUCU